rnacentral:rRNA from 1 species
UACGUAGGCAGCGAGCGUUGUUCGGAAUUACUGGGCGUAAAGCGUGCGUAGGCGGUGCUCUAAGUCUGUCGUGAAAUCUCCCGGCUCACCUGGGAGGGUGCGGCGGAAACUGGAGUGCUAGAGUGUGGGAGAGGUAAGCGGAAUUCCUGGUGUAGCGGUGAAAUGCGUAGAUAUCAGGAGGAACACCUGCGGGGUAGACAGCGUACGGGACCACGACGGACGCUGAGGCACGAAAGCGUGGGUAGCAAACAGG